UAGGCUUUGAAACUGGGUUACUUAAAAAAAACCAUACGUUCAUUUCCUGAUUCGUGUCACUGAUGCUGCCUUGCAGCCUUUUAAAUAACCGGUUGACUAAGUUUAAAACAAGUCCACCUUGGAACUCCUCCUAGUGCAAAUAAAAACCAAAACAAUACUCUUAAACAAAGCAUAAUACAUCGAGCAACAGCAAUAAACAGAUACAGAAAAGACACAAAUAAUACAAACUGGAUGAAAAGCAUAUGCAUGAAAACUUGAACUUCGAAACCAAAUGGCAUUUGUCUCUGGUACUAUUUUUGUCUGUAGCUCCAUCUUCACAGGAAGAAUCGGAAUUCUUCUGAGUCUUUUACCGACUGUUAUCACUGGACUUGGAGCAAGGCACAUUCAUGAUUGCCCAAAGCAGCCCAUGAUUCCUGUCUACCUGCUAGUAGGAGGAAUAGUAUGUCUAAUUCUCCAGAUCCUGCCCUAUCUUCAUUGCUUCCAACCAAAUGGACAACCAAUUCUGCUGUGCAAGAUUUUUAAAAUGCUGCUCCUUGUUUUUUGUCCAAUCUGGCUCUUGACAGGUACUAUUUUCAUAUACAUGGCAUAUGAACCAAAAUAUGAGUUCCACCUCUCUGCUGACUACUGUGAGAAGACUGUCUACAAGCUUGCUUUCUGGAUCACAAAUGCCAUAAAUGUUGCAGUUGUGAUAUGGAUUCUCGGACUCUGUUGCAGCUGCCUUCAGAUAUUAUGGAAAAAACGAACUCAGAAGUGUCACAUAAUAACAGUUUCCUAAAUUUGUGGUGAAUUAAGAAAUUUCACAUGUAAAUGUUUAAAUAGUUAUAUGUAUGUAUUUGAAAAUACAUUACAGAAUGUGAGCCAGAAGGACAAUACAGACAAUAGUACUACAACCCAUACUAGGGUUUGAAGAAAUUUAAGAAGUUUGCUCAUUCUGUGCAACUGUAGGUCACAAGUUGAUAUAUGGUGUUUAAUGUGUAACAUUGGUUGUAGUACUUUGACCUUAGGGAAUCUAGGCAUAUGAUCUAUCCACUUCAUCAUUUGGUAUAUUUCUGUCAAUUGCUGAUUGAUGAUAUCAGUUAUUAUUAUUAUUUUUUAAUUUUAUGUCUGUGGUGAUCGUUCAAAAUUGCUUCUUUAAGUGUAGUUGCAUUAAUGCCUAUCUGAAUCAAGUAAGUGGUACGUGCAUCUGUUUAACCUGUCAUUUUAAAAGACUUUGUUUAUUGUGGAACAUUAUGUAAUAUGUUCAAUAGAUGACAAAGAUGUUGCUCGCUAUAAAAAUUACUACAUCACUUUAUCAGUAUGCAAAAAUCUCCUGCGGUCUCAUGAACUAUUAUAAUUUUUUAGACUCAGAAGUCGCUGAAAGUGUUAAAAGUUAAUAGUGAAAGUCUAAGCAAAAUAUGGUUCCUCUUUCCAUUAACUGUUUUGACUUGCAGAAUAAUAGAACAUACUGUUGCUGUGGUGCAGACUAUAGCAAAAAAAAGCAUAUACACAGUUGCUCAUCUAAUAUAUUUCCAUAUAUAGUUUUUCAUAAUGAAAUAAAAAGUGACUUUUUCAACAGCAUUAAUUUAAAACAGCAAAAGAGAGAGAGAGACAAAUUUCAGCCAGAGUGAAAUAUUAAGUAUAGAAGUCAAGUCAAGUUUAUUUCUAUAGCGCUUUUCACAACAGACAUUGUCUCAAAGCAGCUUUACAGAAAUCAACAGUCAAGGUGAAUGGUGUGCAUUCAAGAGCAAAAUAUAACAUGUACUAUAAUAUAUUUUGUACGCAUAACAUGUUCAUAUUGAUCACGUGUAUAAAAAUUUAGAAAUAAAGACUUUAAAAGGUUUUAUCAUCUGGAAAUAACUCUAGGUUGCUACUGCAAUCCUGCUACUUCUACUGCUAUAAAAAAUCGUUCGAAAUAUUCUGAUAUGUUGUAAGCACAGAUUGCCCAACUACUACACUCAGGAAGAAAGAUGAGCCAACAUGUUUGAGCAAGAUACAACAGUGCUACAUAAAAGAUUCACUUACAGGUUUUACACAGUAAACUUACAAAGUUCUUGAUUGCUAUAUUAUCUUAUUCAAGAUAAUUAUUUCCAAUUAUACAUCCGUCCUACUGGACAUUAGAAUUUAAUCGCUGAAGAUGGAAUCAAAAGAAAUAAACACUGCUUACAUAUCAUGCAUUGUAAUGCUGAAUCUAAUUGCUUGGAUGCUUCUGGUAACAGCUGUGGGAUUAGGAGCCAUUCAUUACAAUGAAUGCCCCAUUCAGCCCCACAUUCCUAUAUAUCUGAUUGUUAUUGGUGCGUGUGGGCUCAUUUUAUUGAUGUUGGCCUACUGGAUGAACACGCUGCGUGAAGGAUUCUGGAAGCAGAUCUGUAUUCUAUGUGUUCUAUGCCUUAGCGUUUUCAGCAUUAUCUGGUUAAUUACAGGAUCAGUCUGGAUAUACUCCAUAAAUCCUCCAAACUUCAAUUCCUCGGCUGUGGAAGACUUCUGUCAGAAGUCUCUUUACAUGUAUGGCUUUUGGUUCAAUAUCCUGUGCUUUGUAUGUGUGUUUAUUUCGAUUCCUUGCUGUCUAUGUUAUGUUCUUUAUGAGUGUGUUAGCAUAUAUGGCCGGUAAGUACAAAUCUAACAUUAAAGAAGAACAGUGUUUAUAUAAAGAAAAAAACAACAACACAGUUUUAUGUGAUAUUUAAAAAAAAGUUAUACCAUCUGGAAAUAAUUCAAUGUUAUAGUUAUGGUUAUGGCUGGGAAUGCUUAGAAAUAUUCUGGUAUGCUGAAGAUUGCCCAAAUACUUCGGAUCAGGAUCAGUGAGGAUUUACUCCAUGAAUCCUCCAAACUUCAAUGCUUAGGUGUGGCACACUUCUGGGCCGGGUUGAUGGUUAUAUUCGCUCACCCAAGCCAGCUACCCAAGUAGAGUAUUUGCCCUCAGUCUUUGUGUAGCUACCGAAGUAGAGUUCUCUUUACCAUACAUACUGUACUGUAUUCUUACUGUGACCACGUGUGUGCGUAAAGCAGUGUAUUUUGCAUACUGUUAUACUGUUGUCAGCAAGUGUAGUGAUUAUUGUAAUAGCGAAUGUUUCCCAUGAAGAAGAACCAUCAAUCGGAAGGCACUAAGAAGAAAAGAUUUGUGAUUAAAAGUGAGAGAAAAGAAAAAGAUUCAAGUGACUCAAAAAAUUUUACUGAAUCAAAAAAGCCUAAAUUAAGUGAAGCCAGUCAUUCGGGUGAAAGUCUCUCUCCUCCUCAUCUCUCUCAUACCAGCCUCGACUUUUCUCAAAGGUACAGUAAACAUCAUGUGUAUUUAUUUUUAUUUAAGAUUAAUAUUGAUACAGUAUACAGUAAUACAAUAGCAUCACUUAUAAAUGUAUUAUUAUACUGAAUUACUGUGUACUGUACUGUAGCACAUUUCCGCAACAAACUAUGCUCGUAAACAUGUGGUUCAUCAUGUUUGGACUAGCAUUUAUAUUUUGUAAUAUUUGUUCAAACAUCUAGAAAGAAAUAGAUACACUACACACCUGUUUUAUUUAUAGGUUUCCUGUAAUAAAACUAAUUGAUUCAUUAAGCGCGUUGGACAAUGACGUAAUCUCUCUCCAGCCAAUCAUGAGUAGGACUCGAACAUAACUUGUUAAGCUCUUAUACAUACAUGAGUUUUGAGUUUAUGGAGUUAUGCAGGAAGGCUUGAGGUUUAUUCCCAAGUUGUUAUAUUUAACGCUUCACAUUUUGUUUAUAAGCGAUGGCUAGUAAGUACAAAUUCAGCAUUAUAAAGAACAUAAUGUUUAUUAUACAUGUACAUGGCUCGGGCCUGAACAUCCGUGGAUACUCAAUGUUUUAGUGAUCAUGUUAAUUAAGCAUGAUCAUUGUUUGCUCUUUCUGCAACACAUGGUUUAGUUUUGCCAAAAUGAUUAUAUAUUGCUGAUAAAAUUUAAUGUGGUGUAGACUUUAGCUUCAAUUCACUCUGGUGGGUUUUUACUAUACAAGUCAGCUGUCAGUUACAACGGGCUGUGUCCUAAACUCUCAGUUACAGUAGGCUGUGUCUUUACUUCCAGUGGUAUUUGUCCUAUACCCCCAGUUACAAUAGAACUCAGUAACUGCAACAACAACAAAAAAAAGCUUGUAAUUUUACAGGACUGGAAUAAAUGCUAUUUUGUUUUUUCCCCAAGAAAAACUAUUGGAUUGUUUUUGUUGUUAAAAGUAUGCCCACUAGAAGGAGGCAUUGUUUUAGGUAGGUUUACUCAAACUAACUACUCAAACCUGUUGGAUUUUGGGCAUGGGUAGAAAUAGAGUAUAUAAAAGAGUAAAAAGUUUUGUUUAUGUUGAUUUGCGACAGAUGAUUUAUGUAAAUAAACAUAAAUUGUAUACAAUAUUGUACCAUACUGCCUAUUCCAUACAAUAUAAUUCUUUACUUUGGUACUGAUAGA